CCCUUGAGCGGGGACAACGUUCCGAAAGGGACGCUAAUACCGCAUAAGUUUCCAGAGACUCUGGUCUUUGGAAGGAAAGCUAGGUCAGCAAUGAUCCGGCACUCGAGGCGGAGCCUGCGUCGCAUCAGCUAGUUGGUGGGGUAACGGCCUACCAAGGCGAAGACGCGUAGCUGGUCUGAGAGGAUGAUCAGCCACACUGGGACUGAGACACGGCCCAG
rnacentral:rRNA from 1 species